rnacentral:rRNA from 11 species
AGCCGUAGUCGAUGGGAAGCAGGUUAAUAUUCCUGCACUUGUAAUUAUUGCGAUGGAGGGACGGAGAAGGCUAGGCCAGCUUGGCGUUGGUUGUCCAAGUUUAAGGUGGUAGGCUGGAAUCUUAGGUAAAUCCGGGAUUCUAAGGCCGAGAGCUGAUGACGAGUUACCCUUUGGGUGACGAAGUGGUUGAUGCCAUGCUUCCAAGAAAAGCUUCUAAGCUUCAGGUAACCAGGAACCGUACCCCAAACCGACACAGGUGGUCAGGUAGAGAAUACUAAGGCGCUUGAGAGAACUCGGGUGAAGGAACUAGGCAAAAUCGUACCGUAACUUCGGGAGA